rnacentral:misc_RNA from 1 species
CAUGAAGAACGUAGUGAAAUGCGAUAAGUAAUGUGAAUUGCAGAAUUCAGUGAACCAUCGAAUCUUUGAACGCACAUUGCGCCCGGCAGUAAUCUGCCGGGCAUGCCUGUCCGAGCGUCAUUUCUGCCCUCGAGCCUGUCCAGCAUCUAGGUGCUGUUCGGGUUCGGCGUUGGGGCACUACGGGAAGCCUCGUGCUAUCCCCCGUAGGCCCCGAAAUGAAGUGGCGGUCCUGCCGCGGCUCCCCCUGCGUAGUAUUACAGCUCGCUUCGGGACCCGGUGGAGGCCUGCCGUCAAACCUUACUCUCUAAGUUUGACCUCGGAUCAGGUAGGGUUACCCGCUGAACUUAAGCAUAUCAAUAAGCGGAGGA